rnacentral:tRNA from 1 species
GAAUUAUGAAAUUUUGAGCUUCUAACUCAAACAAAAGAAAUAAAACUCUUAUAAUUCU